rnacentral:rRNA from 1 species
AACUAACGCUAGCGGCGUGCCUAACACAUGCAAGUCGUACGAGAAAGUCGGCUUCGGCUGAUGAGUAAAGUGGCGCACGGGUGAGUAACGCGUGGAUAAUCUACCCUUAAGUUUGGAAUAACGUACCGAAAGGUGCGCUAAUACCGGAUAAUACUGAGCAACUACUGUUGUUUAGUCAAAGAAGGCUUCUGUUUACAUGCUUUUGCUGAAGGAUGAGUCCGCGUACCAUUAGCUAGUUGGUAGGGUAAAAGCCUACCAAGGCGACGAUGGUUAGCUGGUCUGAGAGGAUGAUCAGCCACACUGGAACUGAGACACGGUCCAGACUCCUACGGGAGGCAG